UGUACUGAUGAAACCAGAAAUAGGAAGUGCCGUCCGAAGCGACAACUGACGACAUCCCUACUUAGCUGACU